AUGGCCGCGGGAAGCCGACAGCCAGCCUGUGGGGUGCUGGGGCCUCGUAUCCUGGCCGUGGUCAUGGUUCCAGGCUGUUUCCAUUUGCCUGCAUCUACAGACACCCACAUCUCACGUCCAACUGCCUGGAUGCCUGUCCUGGCUCCACUGCUUCUGAUCCAGGUGCUAAUGGUCCCCCUGGGAGUCAGUGGUGAUGGCUCAAGUACUCGGGUCCCUGCCACCCUCAUGGGAGACCCAGACGGAGGUCCUGGCUUCAGCCCUGCUCAGCCUGGGCUCUUGUGCUCACCAUCCAUCUGCCACCCAUCCAUCUAUCCACCCAUCCAUCAAUCAAUCCAUCCAUCAUCCAUCCUUCCAUCCAUUAGUCCGUCAAUCCAUCAUCCAUCAUCAAUCAUCCAUCCAUCUCACUCGCCCAGAUGCCCACCUGUGCGGGAGACAAAUGUCUUCUCGCUCAUCUCGUGCUGGGAGCUGCUCCAAGCGUCCCGCAGGUGCCCAGCAGCUCACUGCAGAGCUGGCUCAGACACGGAGCAGGUAGCUGCAGGUGGAGGCAGAGCUGCUGAAAACAGAAACCCCACCCCCCUCACAGCAACCACAAAGGCGGCCAGCAGGGAUUUCCCGAGUUUUGGAGAAGGAAAAUCCCCGGUAGGAAACAGCCAUGAGAGAGGUGCUGCCUGGCUUCUGGGAGCUCCAUGGGGGUCUCACACGUGGGUGCGUCCCAGGCACAGCAGGGAGCCAGGUGGGAAGUGGAGCACCCAGAGUGAUCCAGGUCCAGCUAACCCACCACACUGGCUCCUACUUCAGCCUUUUUUUUUUUUUUUGACAGGCAGAGUGGACAGUGAGAGAGAGAGAGAGACAGAGAGAAAGGUCUUCCUUUUGCCGUUGGUUCACCCUCCAAUGGCUGCCGCGGCCGGCGCGCUGCGGCCGGCGCACCGUGCUGAUCCGAUGGCAGGAGCCAGGAGCCAGGUGCUUUUCCUGGUCUCCCAUGGGGUGCAGGGCCCAAGCACCUGGGCCAUCCUCCACUGCACUCCCUGGCCACAGCAGAGGGCUGGCCUGGAAGAGGGGCAACCGGGACAGAAUCCGGCGCCCCGACCGGGACUAGAACCCGGUGUGCCGGCGCCGCUAGGCGGAGGAUUAGCCUAG
rnacentral:lncRNA from 1 species